rnacentral:pre_miRNA from 1 species
GACACAAGAAAAGACAGUGACACGGGACGAGCGCUAAUCGUCGUUAGCGCUCGUCCCGUGUCACUGUCUUUUCUUGUGUC